rnacentral:lncRNA from 1 species
CGUGAUAUCUCUUCACACCAAUAGAAACCAAGCUAAGACAUCAAAAGUCUUUCAAGCCUGCGGUUAUGUUUAGCAGGUUACUUGGUGGAAAUGGUAGGUCCGCACUGGUGGGGGUUCCUUACUUGGUCUGUGUGUUCUUAGUUUGAACUAAAGGAAGCCUCUCUGCUCAGUGGCCUUAAGUGUCACCCUUACUCGAUGAAGACUGAAGCUACUACUAGAUCUGCUUUCUGAUCCCAAUGCUACUGCUCAAGUCACUCAAGCGAGCUUGACCCCUCCUCCCCUUCCAGGAAGCAGCAGCCCACUCCAACCCUGCCCUCAUGUCUAAGGAUACCGACCCCAUGACAGUGCACAGCUGGCAGGGGCCUCAGUCAGAACCCAGGACACCAUUCCUUCAUCUCCCGUCCUUCACCUUGGAAGGAGCCACAACCCAGUUCCUGGCCUCUCCCUGGAGUCCUGGCCUCCCCCUCAAAGUACUCCCGUUUGCCCACAAAGACAUCUAGAGCUCUCUCCAAGGCCUUCAUCUCAUCAGGUCUCAGCUGGCACAAACUUCCUGAGCCCCACUGUCCUUGGGAUGACAUCCAAAAUUGGUCACGAGGCUACAGGUUCCUCCUCUGUCCAUACCGCAAGCCAGGCUCCCCCAUUUGGGCCUGUACUAUAAGCUCGCACAGCCAGGCCCAACAACCUAGCACAUUCUCAUGCAGUUUUUCCUAUCUGUCUCCUCUUGGCGGGCUUGCCUCUACUCUCGAGUUGUGUAGAACCCCUUCCACCUCCUUCUACAGGGCAGGGAUGGGCAACUGUGCCCGCUGGCUUUGGAGCCUGGGCGGGGUGGAUUGGGUUCACGAAGCUCCUGUACCAGCAGGAUAAAGCGCACAUUCCUAGGCCUGGAGUUCUGCUCUGCAUUCCACUUCCGCCAAGGCCCUCACUAGUACCCUUCAACGGGAAUGCAGGAAUGCACUCUGAACAGUACUUUCUCCACCACUCUGCAAAGCCGCUCCGCCCCACGCUAAUCCUUUCCCCCUUGGCACUAGAGGGACACCUGAUACCUCCAUUGUUGCACCAGGCACCAGCCAGCGGCCGGUGAGAACUUACCUCAGGAACUGGGAGAGCCUCCGGAGUUCCCCGCCCCUCCCCGUCCAGCCCACUGUGACAUCCAGGUACGUUGGUGUCUUUGCCCACCAUCCUGUCCCGAGCCCGUGGCCUAUCCUGCAACGUCGAGGGCGCAGGAGGAAGAGACCCAGCUGGACGCACAGGCCUCUGGGAUCCAUCCUACUUCCUUCGCCC